UGGGGAAUUUUCCGCAAUGGGCGCAAGCCUGACGGAGCAAGACCGCGUGCGGGAGGACGGCCUAUUGGUUGUAAACCGCUUUUGAUAGGGAAGAAGAUCUGACGGUACCUAUCGAAUCAGCAUCGGCUAACUCCGUGCCAGCAGCCGCGGUAAUACGGAGGAUGCAAGCGUUAUCCGGAAUUAUUGGGCGUAAAGCGUCCGUAGGUGGUUAAUCAAGUCUGCUGUUAAAGCGUGCGGCUUAACCGCAUAUCAGCAGUGGAAACUGAUUGACUAGAGUGUGGUAGGGGUCAGGGGAAUUCCCAGUGUAGCGGUGAAAUGCGUAGAUACUGGGAAGAACACCGGUGGCGAAAGCGCCUGACUGGGCCUGCACUGACACUGAGGGACGAAAGCUAGGGGAGCGAAAGGGAUUAGAUACCCCGGUAGUCCUAGCCGUAAACGACGGACACUAGGUGUUGCCCGUAUCGACCCGGGCAGUGCCGUAGCCAACGCGUUAAGUGUCCCGCCUGGGGAGUACGCUCGCAAGAGUG
rnacentral:rRNA from 1 species